GCUUUGUUGUACUUUUGGAUGUACUUCUCCGUAUUCUGUAAGGACCUCUGCGGUUUUGGCAAAACAACAAACCACACUUCACCUGGAAAACACAGCCAGGACUCACUGUCAGAUGUCUGAAAAUGUACAGUACACGCCAGCAGGUCUCACCAUAGUCAACAUCAUUAAGGAUUUGGCUCUCUGACCUGAGAAGAGGCCCCAUAAACACACCUGACAAGGACCAGCCA